rnacentral:rRNA from 1 species
AACGAACGCUGGCGGCAUGCCUAACACAUGCAAGUCGAACGAGACCUUCGGGUCUAGUGGCGCACGGGUGCGUAACGCGUGGGAACCUGCCCUUAGGUUCGGAAUAACUCCCCGAAAGGGGUGCUAAUACCGGAUAAUGUCUUCGGACCAAAGAUUUAUCGCCUUUGGAUGGGCCCGCGUUGGAUUAGCUAGUUGGUAGGGUAAAAGCCUACCAAGGCGACGCUCCAUAGCUGGUCUGAGAGGAUGAUCAGCCACACUGGGACUGAGACACGGCCCAGACUCCUACGGGAGGCAGCAGUGGGGAAUAUUGGACAAUGGGCGAAAGCCUGAUCCAGCAAGGCCGCGUGAGUGAUGAAGGCCUUAGGGUUGUAAAGCUCUUUUACCCGGGAUGAUAAUGACAGUACCGGGAGAAUAAGCUCCGGCUAACUCCGUG